rnacentral:rRNA from 1 species
GACGAACGCUGGCGGCGUGCUUAACACAUGCAAGUCGAGCGGGGAACUUCGGUUCCUAGCGGCGGACGGGUGAGUAACACGUGGGUAACCUACCUCAUAGUGGGGAAUAGCCUUCCGAAAGGAAGAUUAAUACCGCAUAAUACUCAGAGAUCACAUGAUUUCUGAGCCAAAGGAUUUAUUCGCUAUGAGAUGGACCCGCGGCGCAUUAGCUUGUUGGUGAGGUAACGGCUCACCAAGGCUUCGAUGCGUAGCCGACCUGAGAGGGUGAUCGGCCACAUUGGAACUGAGACACGGUCCAGACUCCUACGGGAGGCAGCAGUGGGGAAUAUUGCACAAUGGGGGAAACCCUGAUGCAGCAACGCCGCGUGAGUGAUGAAGGUUUUCGGAUCGUAAAACUCUGUCUUAUGGGACGAUAAUGACGGUACCAUAGGAGGAAGCCACGGCUAACUACGUGCCAGCAGCCGCCGUAA